UUUAAGCUCGGAUUCCAUCAUGAUGCAGGAAAUGAGGAUGUACUCUUUUAUUAAGGUUAAAGGUUUUUAAUCACUUUUCCAGAAUACAGAUACGAUUCAAACAAAAACUAUUUUUGGGGUCUCCAUAAUUCACUUAUUAAUACCAUACAUUGAACUCUAUAAACUCUCAUAUAAGAAAAAGUCUUUUUCUUUUUUUUAAUAUAGGUUAUGAUGCACUGGUGACCUAUUUAAAUCUUUUGAAGUAACACUUUGCAGUUAUAUAGCACCUUUCAUCACGGGGCUGCAAAGCAUCCGACAGAAUUUAGCCUCAUAAUGCCCAAACGAGGUAGGAAAGUCUGGCCAAUUUACAGAGGGGUACAACCGAGGUACAGACUGGCAAGGGACGGAACAUGAGGCUUCACUGGUACAACGGGAGUGAAGUGCCCGCUGGCCCCUGGGCUGUAGGAUGAGUUGGUGGCUUAACUGGGGAGAAAGAAGUCAUCACCCACACCCUCCUCUCAAAGGCAGCAGCCGGGCUCCCAGCAGGUCAAGGCAGCCUCUCCAAAGGUCUGGCUUUUUGUGUUUCAGGUGUAGAAGAGUCAACAGAGAGUCCAAGGCUCAUAGGGCUAAGUCCCCUAGGUGUGCUGCUUGUUGGCGUGCCUGAUAGCUGGCUAUGAACCACAGAAUUAACCUUGCUGUGGCUAAAGUGGUUGUUGCAGCCUCCCCAUCCCUAAGUCUGAACAGCAGGAAGCUGGGCUGGAUUUGUGUUAAUGUGCACUCAGGAUGCAUUCUGAGAUCUGGUGUUUGAUGCUUUGUUUAGCUGGACUGUUUAACUGAGACAAACUCCCUUCUCCCUGUAAGCAGGCGAUAAUCUCAGCUAUUUCAGGGUUUAUUUCUUUAACAAAAAACAUACCUCUGCUGAAAAACCAUCAGCUUAGUGAAUGUGAUGUCCAAUGGACAUGAAGUUCUGCAGCUAGAGGAGUCCAAGAUACCCAAGUUCCUUUGAGCCUUUCUGACUUUACAAACCAUCCCAAACUCUACAACUCUCCCUUGGCCAGAGCUAGCACUCAGCUCUGUUAGGAAUGUUCAAAACAGAUGACAUGUGGAAGCAAAAAGGGGAGAACCCGUUGUGCUGAUGGAAGCAAAACUCCAACCUAGACAGUGAGCACGGUGCUGGUGGGUUGAGAAGAGCAUUGUAUGGAUUUUAAAGACGAGCAUUUGUUCUGCUUGCUUGUUUUUAAGGCAACAGUGAAACUUGCUCAAGGGACUGAGAAGAGUUACUGAGACUGUUACCAAAACCUGAAGACUUUAUUGCACAUUCAGAGUCCCUUCUGUGCCCCUGGCACUAAACCAGCACCGGUGGAGUCUCGCCGCUGCGGGAGCACACCCUGGGGAAACACGAAAUGAGCCUUUGCUGCUGUUUCAUUUCAAGUCUCUGAGGAGGUGACUGCCAGAGAAAUCCAGGGGUUUCUUUUAGACAGUGGUUGGCAGAGUAAUUUGUAAGGUAAUUCAAUCUGCACUUAAUUCUGUGGUGUUCAGCAUGCGCCGUUUCCUCUUCUAGUCAACCGAAGGCAGGAGAGAGCAGCAGGUUUGCAGCGAGCACCUCUCGCAGGGAGAACUGCCAGGAAACAGCCACAUUCCAGAAGCACUUUAAACAAAGAUCUCUGCAAAAAUCCAAAGAGCCAGCACUGAGAACACGCGUGGUGAGGAGUAACGUGGCAUACCCGCUGCCAGGCUCCCAAACCGGGCUGCAGAGCUGUGCCAUGAAGGGGUUAAACAUGUGUCUUGCAGUGGGACAGCACAGAGGUAGAAACCCUGUUAGCAGGAAGCAUCCUCUUCAAUUCUUCUUUCUUGUUUCUCUGUCCACCCUGAGAUUACAGCCUGAUUUGCUCCUUAAAAGAGUAUUUCAAAUAAUAAAUGCUGUUGCAUGGUCAGGAAAUGAUUGGGAUCUAUUGAUUAUGAACAACUUAAGUGCUCAGAACUUUGAUCCUAUGUGCAAAAAUCUAUUAAUAAUGUUAAUCCUUCAAGGUAAUCCGGCCUGUAAAUCAGUGUGAACUCCAGCCAGGCUGACCAGCAAUUCCUCAAGAGGCAAAAAUAGCCCAAGCACACCCUGGGCAACAAACACCGUGGCCAAAGGGCCUCCGAGCAGAAGGUAUCUGACCAGGGAAAUGAAACUGAAACUAUUCCUUCUGCUAAUCGUAUCACUGAACUGAACUGAACCCCUUCUCAGCUCAGAGCCAUGACAUAAAAGCAGUUAGCACAAUGCUUUGCUUUCAACCAGUCAAGCUUAAAAGUUAUUUAUCUUUUCUUGCUGAGAGAGCAUGAAAGGCAAAUGUCUUUCAUUCCAAGUACCUGGAAAAAAUUGAUGUACGUGAAAGUGCUCAUAGAGAAGAAAGAGUGAGGGACUUCAGAGGAAGAAAAUGAGUAAGUUUCUCAUAAGAUACAAAUAUGCUACUUCAUGGGAAUAUUUCUGUUAAUGUCUAGUAAGUGAAAACUCAGAUGUGGUAUUGCUUUUUAGGCAAUCUCAACACAACCAACGCCUGCCCCCCCCCCCCCCCCCAACAGCUUAUCCUAACUGCUCCCUUGCUUAUUCCCUGGAAGGGAGGAAUGUCAGGGAAGGAGGGAGUGAGAAAUCAGCCAAAGGGAUGCCCAAGAAGUACGGAAUUCCCAGAUCCCUUCCCUCUCCUACUGCCAAGGUUCGUGUGCAACAAACACAGCUCAGACUUCUUCAGUGCCCUACAGACAUGCCAACUAAUCCUUCCACAAUGAUUUGGUUUUCCCUGAAACGUUCUAUCAGCCAUUCCAAUCCAAAACACUGUGCCUGCUAUUUCGCUAUUUAACUCUGGGGAGGGACAGGUUAGUGUUCAUGGAACAAGACACGAGCCUGCAGGAGCAUCCCUGAGCUCCAAGAGCUUGGGUAGUUCACUGGCAGGGUAUGUAUUAUGGACUGCUAGGCCAGGACGUGGAGAAAGCAGCAUCUUUGAUCAGAAAUGACAGACACAGAUGGGCUUUGAUCAGACAGAAUCAGGGGCAGGUUUACUUUUCACAUAGUUUUCUGUAUUAAAAAAUACAUCAGUGAAAUCUGUUACAGGCAGGGACAGGACUACCGAGUACACGACGUCAAUAGACUACUUUCUGAUUUUAUUUUUUGUUAAAUUACUUCUGUUACUGCUAAAAAAAUAAUUAAAAAACCAAACAAAACCAAACAAAAAAAAAAAAAGGAAACAGAAUUCAAGGCUGUUGAUUUUCAUCUCUUGAAAUUUUAGUGACAAGAUCAAAUAUCAGACCCCUGUUACAGAAGAUGACCGGAGCUACAUCAAAACCAUACAAUUCUCUUCUUUAAAAAUAGUUUGGGUUUCCAGUGAAUUUGUGACCACUGGUCACCAGAAACACACAUCUAUAGCUUGAGAAAAGGGGAGCUACAGACAGUAUCUGAUAAUGUCCUGUCCUUCAAACACAACGUGGGAGCUUUUCUCUUCCAAAAGACGCAGUAACAGCCAAGCCUUAAAAAAAUCUCUUUUGAUUUCCAACACUAUGACUAAAUCUCUUUGGGUGGGGUGGGAAAAAAACACACAUGGUAAUUUUCUACCACAGUUCAGUUGUCAAAAGUAAUACUGCAUCCUUUGCACAACACUGCACGCGUUGCAAAGGCGGAAAGAGUGAGCGUAUCUUCCAUUUGAAAUGACAAGGCCCUCCAGAUUUGCCUUAUAAAAUAACCAAAACCAUUGGAGUAGGGAGAGAGGAGAAAGGAAAGCUGCCUUAAGGGAAAAACAAUUUCCGCGCACCACAGUAUUUGCUAGAUUAUAUCAACAGACUGCAGAGCUACUGGGCUAGGGAAGGGAUUUCUGCACAUACCCCAGGACAGUCACUCUCCUGUACAUACCCCAGAAAUGUUCAUCCCGUAACAUGAUCCCUCUGAAGUUGGACCUACAGCACCUCUUCCGCAUCGAAGACCAAACAGAGCUAAGAGUUGGAAUUGGCCUGGACCGAGAGCUAGAUUCUGGCAUCGUGUGACCCAUUUAACAGCAGCCAGACAGUUGUCCCUUUAGACAGCCAGUGGCUUCUGCCUUCCUACCGCUUGAUCCCAGUUUCCAAAGGAAAACAACUAUAAAAGCAUGUGUAGGUGUAUUUAUAAUGGGAGGUGUCUGCCUGAGCACCACCACUUCCUCUCCUGGCCUCGUGAAGAGCUCUAGGAGCUCCACGCGUUCUUUGGCAGCAAGGACUGCCAGCCACCAGGCUGAGAAGUCACGUGAGCCACAGUCUAG